rnacentral:rRNA from 1 species
CGGAAACGAAGAGGUGCUUGCACCUCUGGCGUCGAGCGGCGGACGGGUGAGUAAUGCUUGGGAAUAUGCCUUAUGGUGGGGGACAACAGUUGGAAACGACUGCUAAUACCGCAUAGUGUCUACGGACCAAAGUGGGGGACCUUCGGGCCUCACGCCAUAAGAUUAGCCCAAGUGGGAUUAGCUAGUUGGUGAGGUAAUGGCUCACCAAGGCGACGAUCCCUAGCUGGUUUGAGAGGAUGAUCAGCCACACUGGGACUGAGACACGGCCCAGACUCCUACGGGAGGCAGCAGUGGGGAAUAUUGCACAAUGGGCGCAAGCCUGAUGCAGCCAUGCCGCGUGUGUGAAGGAGGCCUUCGGGUUGUAAAGCACUUUCAGUAAGGAGGAAAGGUUAAGUGUUAAUAGCACUUAGCUGUGACGUUACUUACAGAAGAAGCACCGGCUAACUCCGUGCCAGCAGCCGCGGUAAUACGGAGGGUGCGAGCGUUUAUCGGAAUUACUGCGCGUAAAGCGUACGCAGGCGGUUUGUUAAGCGAGAUGUGGAAGCCCCGGGCU